UUUGUUUUGAUGGAGGAUUUAUAAAACUUCUAUCAAAUUAGGUGACAUGACAAUCACGUGUGCAAUGACCUUUCAUACCAUGCCCAUUAGUAGAAAAAAUUACCUUCAUCUUUUGAAGGAUCAUUUGAGAACUGUUCUUCAAAGAAUAUAACCUCCUAAUUCUAUAAUAUAUAUGUUGUGUAAUACUCAACGUGCACAUCUUCGAGAUGGCAAAAUCGUUCAUGUCAUAGUAAAUUUCAAAUUUACUAGAACAUGAAUAAUUUUUCAAGUUUGCUAUUUUGGAGUAUAUUCCAUAAUAUUUUUUCUCAAUUAUUCUACCUCUUAUGGAGGUGUUACUCCUAUCACAUUCACCACAGGAAAUAGAUCUGUAAUUUUAAUAAUCAAAAUUCUCAUUCCCCGGGAAUGAAAUAUAAUGAUGUCUUAAGCUUAUCAAAUUAUGAUAGCUUAGAAUUUCUUUCAAGAUAUUGCUCUUUCAUGAGCAAAUCGAGGCGUACAUAUAAUGUAACGAAAUAUUUUGCCCUUGUUAAGCCUAUAUUCAUAUUCAUAAAUUCAAUCACAUGUCUUCUUUCAGACAUACUAUAUGCACUGCAUGCUACCACAUUUACUUCAAGGAAUGAAGCAUAUUCAAUGGGACAUAUUUCAUGACUUUUCAAUAAAAUUUUGCCUUAGUCAUUAUUAUAUCAUCAAUAUGUUGUAUUAAGAUUAAAACUCAACGUCUUAUUAUAAAGGCGUCUAAGGCCAAAAAAUUAAUGGGACUUAAACCCAAUAUCUUAUCAUGAUGGUGCAACAGGACUCUUAACUUGAUGUCUUACCCUCUUAAUGACAUGAGAUUUAAAUCUAUCAUCGCACCCUCGGCCAAUAACAUAUUAGGUCAAAGUAUAAUAAACUCAAACUUGAGCUUAUAACAAUAUCACCACUUUGUGACUGUCAAUACUCUUUUCAAAGUUAAUUAAAGAACAUGAUUUAAUAAUAUACUUAUCUUAUCAUAAAUAGUAGAAAGGUAAAAUCCAAAUUGUGAUGAUCGCAUAGUUCUUGCGGUCUUCUUUUCUCCACCUUCCGAACCAAUUUUCUUUUCUUAGCCAUCAAAUUUUGAGACGGUAAAGUCUCAUGCUGAUAACGUGUUAUGAAAUAAAGACAAAAUAUCAAUAUCAAACUUAAAGAAAUGAGAGAACUAGAGAAUUUUAGUAGUGCAUUUG
rnacentral:lncRNA from 1 species